AUUGAACGCUGGCGGAAUGCUUUACACAUGCAAGUCGAACGGCAGCACGGACUUCGGUCUGGUGGCGAGUGGCGAACGGGUGAGUAAUGUAUCGGAACGUGCCCAGUCGUGGGGGAUAACGUAGUGAAAAUUACGCUAAUACCGCAUACGAUCUAUGGAUGAAAGCGGGGGAUCGCAAGACCUCGCGCGAUUGGAGCGGCCGAUAUCAGAUUAGGUAGUUGGUGGGGGAAAGGCCCACCAAGCCAACGAUCUGUAGCUGGUAUGAGAGGACGACCGGCCACACUGGAACUGGGGCACGGUCCAGACUCCUACGGGAGGCAGCAGUGGGGAAUUUUGGACAAUGGGCGAAAGCCUGAUCCAGCCAUUCCGCGUGCAGGAUGAAGGCCCUCGGGUUGUAAACUGCUUUUGUACAGAACGAAAAGGUUUCUACUAAUACUAGGAGCUCAUGACGGUACUGUAAGAAUAAGCACCGGCUAACUACGUGCCAGCCGCCGCGGUAA
rnacentral:rRNA from 1 species